rnacentral:rRNA from 1 species
UACGUAGGGGGCGAGCGUUGUCCGGAUUCAUUGGGCGUAAAGAGCUCGUAGGCGGCUUGGCAAGUCGGAUGUGAAAACUCCAGGCUCAACCUGGAGCCGCCAUUCGAUACUGCUAUGGCUAGAGUCCGGUAGGGGAGUGUGGAAUUCCCGGUGUAGCGGUGGAAUGCGCAGAUAUCGGGAGGAACACCGAUGGCGAAGGCAGCACUCUGGGCCGGUACUGACGCUGAGGAGCGAAAGCGUGGGGAGCGAACAGG